CAAUGAUCAUUUGAAACCAUGAUACAGUUGGUUUUAAUCUUUUUCAGUAUAACUUGCCCAUAAAGCCACCAACUCGUUUCUCGUAACUGGCUCUGCCAAAAUUAAACCGUCUCGUACAACCUGUUUAGCCUCUUCUAUGCGAUGCAUUGCCUCCAAAGCCUUUGCUUUCCUAUAAUAACACUUUCCAUAAUUAUUUCGAAUUUUCAAAGCAGCAUUUGCAUCUGCUAAAGCUUCGGGGAAUUGGGAAAGGGCAAUCUCAGCAGCCGCCCG